rnacentral:lncRNA from 1 species
AGGGGGAGUUGCGCAAGUGAUCCUUGUACGGUUUCAGGGUGGACAUGUACAGCGGAAGCAUAACGGAUUUCAAAAUUUAAAUUAUGAAAUCUUAAAUAUUAAACCCAUAAAUCAAUAUCUCCUUAAUGAUUAACAAUCAUAUAUAAUAUAUAUUUAAAAUUAAAUUCAAGCUAUAGAAGAAUACGUGCAGCGCUUAAUCCAAAUUCCGACAGAACCUCCACC